rnacentral:rRNA from 1 species
GACGAACGCUGGCGGCGUGCCUAAUACAUGCAAGUAGAACGCUGAAGGAGGAGCUUGCUCUUCUGGAUGAGUUGCGAACGGGUGAGUAACGCGUAGGUAACCUGCCUGGUAGCGGGGGAUAACUAUUGGAAACGAUAGCUAAUACCGCAUAACAGUAGAUGUUGCAUGACAUUUACUUAAAAGGUGCAAUUGCAUCACUACCAGAUGGACCUGCGUUGUAUUAGCUAGUUGGUGGGGUAACGGCUCACCAAGGCGACGAUACAUAGCCGACCUGAGAGGGUGAUCGGCCACACUGGGACUGAGACACGGCCCAGACUCCUACGGGAGGCAGCAGUAGGGAAUCUUCGGCAAUGGACGGAAGUCUGACCGAGCAACGCCGCGUGAGUGAAGAAGGUUUUCGGACCGUAAAGCUCUGUUGUAAGAGAAGAACGAGUGUGAGAGUGGAAAGUUCACACUGUGACGGUAUCUUACCAGAAAGAGACGGCUAACUACGUG